rnacentral:rRNA from 1 species
AUUGAACGCUGGCGGCAUGCCUUACACAUGCAAGUCGAACGGCAGCACGGGAGCAAUCCUGGUGGCGAGUGGCGAACGGGUGAGUAAUAUAUCGGAACGUGCCCAGUCGUGGGGGAUAACGCAGCGAAAGCUGUGCUAAUACCGCAUACGAUCUGCGGAUGAAAGCGGGGGAUGGCAAGACCUCGCGCGAUUGGAGCGGCCGAUAUCAGAUUAGCUAGUUGGUGAGGUAAAGGCUCACCAAGGCGACGAUCUGUAGCUGGUCUGAGAGGACGACCAGCCACACUGGAACUGAGACACGGUCCAGACUCCUACGGGAGGCAGCAGUGGGGAAUUUUGGACAAUGGGCGAAAGCCUGAUCCAGCAAUGCCGCGUGCAGGAUGAAGGCCUUCGGGUUGUAAACUGCUUUUGUACGGAACGAAACGGUGAGCUCUAAUACAGUUUGCUAAUGACGGUACCGUAAGAAUAAGCACCGGCUAACUACGUGCCAGCCGCCGCAGUAA